rnacentral:tRNA from 1 species
UGGCUCACAUGGUAAAGUAUCUGUCUGCAAUGCAGGAGACCCAGGUUCGAUCCCUGG